rnacentral:rRNA from 1 species
UUUAAUUGAAUGCUAAGAGAAUGGAAACCCAGAAAAAGACUUUUUUUAAAUUAAAAAUUGAAAUUUUUUUAAUUUGUGCAGAAACAAUUAUUAAUAUUAAGGACAAGAAGACCCUAUGAAUUUAUAAAAUUUUAUUUAAUAUGUUAUAACUAUUAAAAAAAUUUUGGCUGGGGCGGCUAAAAAAUAUUUUAAACUUUUUAAAAAUAAAAUGAUCCAUUAUUAAUGAUUAUAUGUUAAAUACUCUAGGGAUAACAGCGUUAUAUUUUUUGAUAGAUCAUAUUGACAAAAAAGUUUGCGACCUCGAUGUUGGAUUAGGAUACUUUUUUAAUGUAGAUAUUAAAAUAAGAAGUUUGUUCAACUUUUAAAAUCCUACUUGAUC